rnacentral:rRNA from 1 species
CGGAGGGUGCAAGCGUUAUCCGGAUUCACUGGGUUUAAAGGGUGCGUAGGUGGCCCUGUAAGUCAGUGGUGAAAUAUCUCAGCUUAACUGAGAGGGUGCCAUUGAUACUGCAGGGCUUGAGUACAGAUGAGGUAGGCGGAAUUGACGGUGUAGCGGUGAAAUGCAUAGAUAUCGUCAAGAACACCGAUAGCGAAGGCAGCUUACCAAGCUGUAACUGACACUGAGGCACGAAAGUGUGGGGAUCAAACAGGAUUAGAUACCCUGGUAGUCCACACUGUAAACGUUGAUGACUCGAUGUUGGCGAUACACAGCCAGCGUCCAAGAGCAAUCGUUAAGUCAUCCACUGGGGAUACGCCGGCAACGGUG